UUUUUGUAUAGUGUGUGUAUAUAAUGCAGUGUGUUUGUGUAGUGUGCAUUAUAUAAACACACUACACAAACACACUGCAUUAUAUAUACACACUAUACAAAC
rnacentral:miRNA from 1 species